rnacentral:rRNA from 1 species
UACGUAGGGGUGCAAGCGUUGUCCGGAAUUAUUGGGCGUAAAGAGCUCGUAGGCGGUCUGUCGCGUCUGCUGUGAAAACUCAGGGCUUAACCCUGAGCUUGCAGUGGGUACGGGCAGACUAGAGUGCGGUAGGGGAGACUGGAAUUCCGUGGUGUAGCGGUGGAAUGCGCAGAUAUCAGGAGGAACACCGGUGGCGAAGGCGGGUCUCUGGG